rnacentral:rRNA from 1 species
AGAACGAACGCUGGCGGCAUGCCUAAUACAUGCAAGUCGAACGAGAUCUUCGGAUCUAGUGGCGCACGGGUGCGUAACGCGUGGGAAUCUACCCUUGGGUUCGGAAUAACAGUUAGAAAUGACUGCUAAUACCGGAUGAUGACGUAAGUCCAAAGAUUUAUCGCCCAAGGAUGAGCCCGCGUAAGAUUAGCUAGUUGGUGAGGUAAAGGCUCACCAAGGCUACGAUCUUUAGCUGGUCCGAGAGGAUGAUCAGCCACACUGGGACUGAGACACGGCCCAGACUCCUACGGGAGGCAGCAGUAGGGAAUAUUGGACAAUGGGCGAAAGCCUGAUCCAGCAAUGCCGCGUGAGUGAUGAAGGCCUUAGGGUUGUAAAGCUCUUUUACCCGAGAUGAUAAUGACAGUAUCGGGAGAAUAAGCUCCGGCUAACUCCGUG